rnacentral:rRNA from 1 species
GGAGGCAGCAGUGGGGAAUAUUGGACAAUGGGGGGAACCCUGAUCCAGCCAUGCCGCGUGUGUGAAGAAGGCCUUUUGGUUGUAAAGCACUUUAAGCGAGGAGGAGGCUACCUAGAUUAAUACUUUAGGAUAGUGGACGUUACUCGCAGAAUAAGCACCGGCUBAACUCUGUGCCAGCAGCCGCGGU